UGGUGGAGUGAUUUGUCUGCUUAAUUGCGUUAACGAACGAGACCUUAACCUGCUUACUAGAUCACUGAUGCACAAUCGGUGACUCUUCUUAGAGGGACUUUGGCUGUUUUUAACUUCCAAGGAAGUUUGAGGCAAUAACA
rnacentral:rRNA from 1 species